UACGUAGGGUGCAAGCGUUGUCCGGAAUUAUUGGGCGUAAAGAGCUCGUAGGCGGCCUGUCGCGUCGGCUGUGAAAACCCGAGGCUCAACCUCGGGCCUGCAGUCGAUACGGGCAGGCUAGAGUUCGGUAGGGGAGACUGGAAUUCCCGGUGUAGCGGUGAAAUGCGCAGAUAUCGGGAGGAACACCGGUGGCGAAGGCGGUUCUCUGGGCCUGUACUGACGCUGAGGAGCGAAAGCGUGGGGAGCGAACAGG
rnacentral:rRNA from 1 species